AAACGGAGCAGACCUGCAGUUUUCAAUUUCAACAUGAACAUGAAAUAUGGAACACAUAUGUAUAUACAUAACUAACCAAUUUAAGAAAACUGAAUGAGUACCAAAGUUUCUUAUUUUAUGAAACAAAAUUGAAUAUGAUACCUUAUCCAACGCGUCGGAAAAAUCUGCAUAGAUGCAAUCAACUUUUGAAUAUUUGUCUGCACAAAAUAAACACAAUUGGGCGAUGGUAAUAAAUGGCAAGAAAAUAUGGCGUAUUGACAUGCCAUUGAGAAUAGAUGACAUUAAUUCGAUAAUUUCGAUAACUACGAUAUGCUAAAUUAUUGGUUUCCAUAGCUACACUUCGCCAACAUCUUUUAGUGAUUUCCGGAGACUUUUCUGAUUGCCUGCUGCUUCUAUCAUAUAAGCAAGGAUAUUGCCGAACCGCCUUAAUCAAAUCAUCUUCAAACAUGUUAGCUAGCUGCAAAUGUCGAGUCAUAAACAAAACUUUUUAGCUUCUGAUGCCUAUAUCGGAAAAAGUCGAUGCAUCGAACAUAUCGAUGUUUUGCUUGAAAGCUUCGAAA